UACGUAGGGUGCAAGCGUUAAUCGGAAUUACUGGGCGUAAAGCGUGCGCAGGCGGUGAGCUGUGUCCGAUGUGAAAGCCCCGGGCUUAACCUGGGAAUGGCAUUGGAAACUGGCUCGCUGGAGUGUGGCAGAGGGGGGUGGAAUUCCGCGUGUAGCAGUGAAAUGCGCAGAUAUCAGGAAGAACACCCGUGGCGAAGGCGGCUCUCUGGGACGGUACUGACGCUGAGACGCGAAAGCGUGGGGAGCGAACAGG
rnacentral:rRNA from 1 species